CACAGAAAUUGUCUGAUUGUUACCACACUCAUUCUACUCUCCCUCAAUGAGAGCAAUGGUCCCAGUGUUCUAACCCAGCAGCAGCCCCAAGACGGGAUACAUGUGAUAGGACUAUGUGCACCACUACGAUGGUCCUCACCACUAUUGCUGUCAUCCUAUACAGAAAGUUCUCAAACCGAGUCGAACCGCACAAUGUUGAUGAUGCCAAUGAGAAAGAGGUGCCCUACACGAAGAGCAAUGGAGUGGACCCUAAGAAAUGACAACCCUCACAGCAUAUGCAGCUCUAGUCUAUAGUCUACAUGGUACAUAAAAGUCAAAUAACAAGUAGCCUACAGAACUGAAUGCUGUCUGAUAUUUCAAGAUGUGGAGAGGAAUGCAAGAGGAGGAGAGGAAGCGAGAGGCAGGGAAAAUUGAACAUGUGGCAGAAGCAGAGAUGCAUGAAGUGAGAAGAUGUAUGCCCGUUCCACAUUUAGCUUUCAAGUACUCACCGCUACGCUGCUCCCACUAAAUUAUUUAGUGGGAGAACAACAAUCCAUCAGCUCUGUGGAAGGUUAUUAUAAAUGCAUUACCUCCCCAAGCCUACCAGUUCAAUGGAGUCAUGCAGGGUCUCAUAAAUAUGGGACAAUAAAGGGACACACAAAAAAGACUCAGGAUGAAUGAAAUAGGCUUUAUUGUAUUAGUGUGAACUUUCACUCUACCUGUGCGUAGAAGCUCUCAGAUCUGAGGUGGGUCUUUUCAAAUGAAGAGACACAUGAACUGAAGACAGGUCUUCACCUUGAUGGCUACACAUCUGUGUAGUUGGACAGGUCAAAUAUCCUAUAACCUAAACCCCAAAAUGGAUAUGCUACAGACGACAGCAGCAGCUUCAUCUCAGUCAUCUGGUAUUGAUGAAGCUGGCACCAUUAUCUCUCCAGUAUUCAGAGACUGCACAGCGCCAUGAAAGGCAUCCGGAAUUAAUAACAGGCCAGGGCAGUCCAGCUCAACAAGGCCCUUUUCUAUCACAUCUUCAACCCUCCAUCUGUCCUGCAGAUCCCUCUAAUGUUAUUUCAGCAGAGGACAGUCCCAGGAGGCCUCCCUCCUCAUGCUUGAGGCAGGAGAAUUCCAUUUCUGGGAAUGAAACCUCAACCAAUCACAUCUUGGUGCAGCUGAAUCUACAGUACAACAUCUUGGUUUAUUGUGUGUUUCUUGAGUUGGACGUUUCCUUAAGGCUUAAAGUAGGCCUAUGGUCAAUGUAAAACUGGUGGAAAGUGUUUCCGUGCCUCAACAAACAGCCACAAUUAUUUUAUUUUAUUGUCAUUUUUGGUCUUUGAGCAAAUAGGGCUAUACAGAUUUGUGUCCAUUGAGUAAAUUAUAAUGGCUUUUAAAGAAGAGGCAGAACUUUAAAAUGAUGCACUUUAAAUGGUAGGCUGUUUUUGGUAAUCUUUCACAUUCCUCAAGUGACCUAAAUCUUGUUUUUGACUGGCGCUUUGGAUAAGCAAUAUGUUUAAUAUGAAUCGCUUGAACCCAUAAAUAUUUUACCAAAUGUCAGAGAACAUAAAUGUCUUGUAGUGAAGAUGUGUAUGCCAUGGCUACUCAAUCUAAAGAGCAAUGGAAAGAGGCAUAUGUUUUGUACCUCUCUGUCACUCCUCUCCAGUCACAAUGCAUUGUUGUGUGAUGAAAGAAAGCCUGCAAGUGAAUCACCUCUUCCCCUACACCUGUAGCAUCCCGUUGGUCCCAUUGAAGGAGCAACAGUCAGAAAGAGGUGUGUUACUAGUCUGCCUAUGUUCAAAACACAGCUCCAACUUUACUUUACAUUUUUAAAAGCUGCUUGGUGUCACCUUAGUAAACGUCUGCCUUGAGUCAGAGCCUGGUGAUGAUGGUGGUUACUGGUAGGACGGUUUGUUACAGAAUCGACUUUCCUCUGACAUGUCAUCUUACAACCUGCUUCUUCUCUCUAAAGCAAAAUGAUGUCUGUUCUUUGCUCUCCCCACCUGAUUGAAAAAAUAGAUUGAAAAUGUUUUAUUUAGUUUGUACAUAUUUUGAUGGCCUUGGUUGUAAUUUUCCCUUGUUGUAGGCUACCUACUCCCAAAUGUUGCAUUGUAUGUACUGCAUGAUGACCAUUACUGCAUUACCACCUAUGGGAGACCCUUCAGCAUGUAACAAACACAGUCUGAGAUAUUGAAUCUG